rnacentral:lncRNA from 1 species
CAUCAAAACAUUUUGAAUGCAAAUACAAAUCAAAUAAAUGAUGAGGAUUGAUGGUUCACACCAAUAUCACUAAUAGUAGCAGACUAAGCUAAAGAGAUCGCAUAAGAACAAGAUCUCCAAAAAAACCAGCGACAACCAUCACUACCUCCACUAGAAAAGCUAACCCUCCACCAUCGUUAAUCCACUAAUGGAAACAAACAUUAACUAAAACGCAAACAACCAAAGCUAUCACUUUAGAACAAGACAUUAUCCACAAAAGGUGAAACUGAAAAAUUCAACUUUAAACCAGAAGAAACCAAACCGGAAUCACCAGAGUGUAACCAAUCACUAACACUGGUCCAGAUCCGCCGAUACAGAUGGACCUGCGAGAGAUAAAAGUCUAACCGGAAUCUCUGGAAGCCACCACAGAGCACUCCAUUGGUGAACCAUCAUGAUAACUUUAUGUAACCAAACGCCACCACUAAGUAGAACCGACGAACUCUGACACAAACUCAAAUCCAAGAUAAACAGACAACUAGAAGGGAGAGGGAGAGGCCAGUACCGGUGCUGGAUGAGCCACCGAACCGGCCUUAGAUCUGAAAUUGGCAGCAGCGACUGAGGGAGAUUGAGAGAGACGAGACUUUAGAGCACUCGCAGCGCAAGUCUCUUGCAAAGUCUCUUGCAAAGUCUCUGAUAAAUUAAAAUAUUAAAAGAUUAAAAAGGUGGAGAGAGACCGAAGAAAAGAAGGAAGAGAAGCCAGAAUCGUACCUGUGGGACGAUACUCGU